AUUACAUCACCCAAACAUUGUAAUAUCAAUGUAGGUGGCAUUCCACACAGAAUUGCCUCGCCUAAACAUUACAUAAUUAAUUAAAAUAGGAUGCAUUCUCAGUUUGUUAUCAUCAUCACUGCCCAUCUAAAAAAACAUAAACCAAAA